rnacentral:tRNA from 1 species
AGGGCUGUGGCUCAGUGGUAGAGCGCUGGCCUGGCACGCAUGAGACAUGGGUUCCAUCCCCAGCACCACAU